rnacentral:rRNA from 1 species
UGAGGAAUAUUGGACAAUGGGCGGAGGCCUGAUCCAGCCAUGCCGCGUGCGGGAAGACGGCCCUACGGGUCGUAAACCGCUUUUGUACGGGAAGAACCGCGCCCACGUGUGGGCGCCUGACGGUACCGUAAGAAUAAGGACCGGCUAACUCCGUGCCAGCAGCCGCGGUAAUACGGAGGGUCCGAGCGUUAUCCGGAAUCAUUGGGUUUAAAGGGUCCGUAGGCGGGCCGUUAAGUCAGGGGUGAAAUACUGCGGCUCAACCGUAGAGGUGCCCUUGAUACUGGCGGUCUGGAGUUGUGGCGGGGCGGCCGGAAUAUGUGGUGUAGCGGUGAAAUGCAUAGAUAUCACAUAGAACACCGAUCGCGAAGGCAGGUCGCCAGCCACAUACUGACGCUGAUGGACGAAAGCGUGGGGAGCGAACGGGAUUAGAUACCCCCGUAGUCC